CCCAUGGGUACAUGAAGGACUCAAAGUGGAAAAGAAAAACGGGGUAGUUGAGACAUAGAUUGAGGUGUCUGCGUACUCCCAUCUUUUGGGCAGGUACUUUGACAUUCAGUAGUCAUAUCUCCCAUCCAGAGUCACUCCGCUGACAGUCAAGUUCUAAUUACGUGUAUAUGACUAUUUGUUGUGAAAUGCUGAGAUUCACUUGUCAAAUUAUAUGUAUGUAUAUAAUGGUUGAUGAUGUCAUUAUGAAUACAUGACUGGGUUUUAUGAGUUGUUUUCAAAUGAAUUGUAAUUGAGCAUUAUGAAUUUCAGAUUCUAAAGGAAUAUGGAUUAACGUA